rnacentral:rRNA from 1 species
GUGACUGCGUACCUUUUGUAUAAUGGGUCAGCGACUUAUAUUCUGUAGCAAGGUUAACCGAAUAGGGGAGCCGGAGGGAAACCGAGUCUUAAUUGGGCGUUAAGUUGCAGGGUAUAGACCCGAAACCCGGUGAUCUAGCCAUGGGCAGGUUGAAGGUUGGGUAACACUAACUGGAGGACCGAACCGACUAAUGUUGAAAAAUUAGCGGAUGACCUGUGGCUGGGGGUGAAAGGCCAAUCAAACCGGGAGAUAGCUGGUUCUCCCCGAAAGCUAUUUAGGUAGCGCCUCGUGAAUUCAUCUCCGGGGGUAGAGCACUGUUUCGGCUAGGGGGCCAUCCCGGCUUACCAACCCGAUGCAAACUGCGAAUACCGGAGAAUGUUAUCACGGGAGACACACGGCGGGUGCUAACGUCCGUCGUGAAGAGGGAAACAACCCAGACCGCCAGCUAAGGUCCCAAAGUCAUGGUUAAGUGGGAAACGAUGUGGGAAGGCCCAGACAGCCAGGAUGUUGGCUUAGAAGCAGCCAUCAUUUAAAGAAAGCGUAAUAGCUCACUGGUCGAGUCGGCCUGCGCGGAAGAUGUAACGGGGCUAAACCAUGCACCGAAGCUGCGGCAGCGACACUCAGGUGUUGUUGGGUAGGGGAGCGUUCUGUAAGCCUGUGAAGGUGGCCUGUGAGGGUUGCUGGAGGUAUCAGAAGUGCGAAUGCUGACAUAAGUAACGAUAAAGCGGGUGAAAAGCCCGCUCGCCGGAAGACCAAGGGUUCCUGUCCAACGUUAAUCGGGGCAGGGUGAGUCGACCCCUAAGGCGAGGCCGAAAGGCGUAGUCGAUGGGAAACGGGUUAAUAUUCCCGUACUUGGUGUUACUGCGAAGGGGGGACGGAGAAGGCUAUGUUGGCCGGGCGACGGUUGUCCCGGUUUAAGCGUGUAGGCUGGUUUUCCAGGCAAAUCCGGAAAAUCAAGGCUGAGGCGUGACGACGAGGCACUACGGUGCUGAAGCAACAAAUGCCCUGCUUCCAGGAAAAGCCUCUAAGCAUCAGGUAACAUCAAAUCGUACCCCAAACCGACACAGG